GGAUGCUAUUCCAAGUCUAGAAGCAAUAAGAGAAUGGCCUUCGAAUGUGCGCAUCAAAUGUAGCCCGUCAAUAGUUGCCAAGAUUUUGAUUCUAUGAUCAUUUGCAGAAACUGCCAAUAAAGUGCCUUCCUUGUUGAAUCGGAUUCGUGGACUUGCUGGUAGUCCUCCCUCAGCAUCAAUGGCUGUCAAGAUAUUGGGAUUAUCCAUAUCCCAAAAUUUGAUUGAGUAAUCAUCACCAACAGCUAUGAACCUGUUCUUGCUAGUGUCAAAUUGAACAACUCCCAAAGAACGUUUAUGAAACCCUUGAUAUGUUCUUUUUAUGGAACCUUCAUUUUCAUUCCAUUCCACCAUGUGCGACUCUCCCUCUUGACUUGUC
rnacentral:misc_RNA from 1 species